CGAGAUCCACUCAUCUUGAGGCUGAAAAAGAUGGCCCCCAGCACUAGAAUCAGAAGUAAAGCGGAUACAACGCUGCCUCCCUGGACCAGCAUCUGAAACACACCAAAUGCAAAUCUAUGUCAGAAAUUGUGAAGAAUGUUAUCUGGUGGCGCCCAGUUUUUAUUGGUGGAAGAGAGAACUCAGAUACGUUUGCUGUAACCAUCUUUCACUGAUAUUGGUGCAAAGAGGUCAUUGAUGUGGGAGGAAACUCUUUGAGUGGAUGACCACAAUACCCUCUCACAUACAACCACUGUUGAUCCAGAGGAUGGAACUUGGGUAGCAGCCGUGAGAAGUGAGUGGGUUCAACACUACACUAUCCAGACACCACAAGAUACACUUUAAAUGGUAUCAAAAAUAUUGUUAUACUAAAUAAUUUUGAUCCAGAAAUCAACACAGAUCUUCAUCUUGCUACCAGCCAUCUUUGUGGAUUGUAUCGUUUGAAGGUGUCGACAACAUCACUCUAUCCAUUUAAUGCAACCUUAACCUAGUUAUUGUGGCACAGAUAUCAAUAGGUAUUUCUAAAAAUAAAUCAGUCACCAUCUUC